UACGGGGGGGGCAAGCGUUGUUCGGAAUUACUGGGCGUAAAGGGCUCGUAGGUGGCCAAUUAAGUCAGGCGUGAAAUCCCCAGGCUCAACUUGGGAACUGCGUCUGAUACUGGUUGGCUUGAAUUCGGGAGAGGGAUGCAGAAUUCCAGGUGUAGCGGUGAAAUGCGUAGAUAUCUGGAGGAAUACCGGUGGCGAAGGCGGCAUCCUGGACCGAGAUUGACACUGAUGAGCGAAAGCCAGGGGAGCAAACAGG
rnacentral:rRNA from 1 species